ensembl:lncRNA
GAGACAUCCUAAACAAAGAUGAGAUUUCUGAGUUAGUCUGAAAUUUAUAGGCUGCCUUACAAUUCAUGCUGAUUCUUUUAGUUUCCUAAUUUACUUACUAAUAGAAAUAGCCUCAGGAGACAAUUGCACAUUUUUGUGACUUUCUUUGGAGGAUAAGAUCUGAAAAAUUAAUAAAUGGUUUCAUUUAUAAACUCCUGAACACUACAUACUGUUUAGCCCAUUUCCAAACAUGCAACUGUUGCAUCUUACAUAGGCAUUGAGGGAGAAGACUGUUUUAAAUGCUUCUAUUAUUUAAGAGACUAGAUCAGAAAGAAAGAAGGCUAUUUAGAAUGAGAUAGGCUACUACUUAAAAUUAGACCGCAAGCGGUUGUUAUGAUACCUCCCUCUAAUCCCACUGAUUUUAAGGCCUAGCUCUAUAAUAAAAAUACCUGGGAAGAUUGUUUUUAAUGCCUAGAUGUUGGAUCCAUCUGCAGAGACUCUGACUUAAUUAUCUGAGGUCAGACAUUAAAACAAACUCCUCGAGGUGAUUUAAAAUGUUACGAGUAUCUAUGGUAGCCCCGCCGUCGUAAGCGGCGCUGUGGCCUCGGUUGGGGUGGAGUGAGGCCUCCACGUUCCGUACUCACCUGCGAGGUGUCCUGCGCAGACGGGAGCGAUGUCCCAGAAAAGCAGCCGGUAGACUUGGGUCUCCUCGAGGAGGAUGACGAGUUCGAGGAGUUCCCUGCCGAAGACUGGGCUGGUUUAGAUGAAGAUGAAGAUGCACGUGUCUGGGAGGAUAAUUGGGAUGAUGACAAUGUCGAGGAUGACUUCUCCAAUCAGUUGCCAGCUGAACUGGACUAGGAUGGAGAACCCAGGAUCUGCUUGGAUUUAUUUUUGUUUUUGUAGCACAAGAAAAAUAAAUGAAAAAAAAAAAUGUUCAGCCAGUGUUGAACAUGACUCGCUCAUCAAGUCAGUACGCAGCUUAAAGCAGGAAUGGGAAGUAUGUGGUGACAGUUUCCCAAAUGAGUGAGGCAAACCACACUGAAGAAGGCUCCCACCAAGCAAGCAGUCUGUCACAAUGCAAGAAAAAAACAAAUGUCCUUUAUGGGAGCCUACAUAGAAAUGAUAGAAAUGAACGUGUCCUAUUUUAGUAAUCAGUUCGUACCAUCCUCUAUCCAAGUCGUCCAUUAUCCUUUUCCCAGUUUAAAAGAAGCAAAGGCUUGACCUCAGCUGAGGUCACAGAAGGCUGGAUUAGAUCAAAGCCAAGGCUGUCCCAGAAAUUAGGGACUCUGAGAGCCUGGUGAAGCAAGGCACAAGGAAAAGUCCCAAAGUGAGAAGAAAAAUGAGACCAGAAACAAAGGGUCAACUGCAAGAAACAGACAAAUCCAAGGACACGCUUGCUCAGCGGUGGAGUCUCAAGCAGCAACAUUCAGUGGGAGAAAGCAUUUUAGUAACAGCAGAGAACUGUGGGUGGGGAGCAGUUACCACAGCACCACCAAAAAAAGGGCACCACCUAAUUUACAGUAAGUGGUACUCAGCAGCAGCAGCAUGACUGGAAUAGGAGGUUUUACUUGAAUCCAUACUGAAUUAUUCUCAGAAGUGUUUGAACUAUAACUGUUAUUUUCUAUGUGCAUGAGUUGAUAGUCACAAAGGCUUUGAGGGCUAAGAAGGAGAAGAGUUGAGUACCUUAGCCUCUGCAUACACUGAGCUAGGGAUCCAGCCUCAAGGAGGAUAUGAGGAAGCUGAAGGUGACAGCACAAUGACCCUCAGCUGGCUCAGCCCGAUAGACUGGUGUAGAAACUGGAGUGAGAACAGCCAGACUUUUCUAUGAAACCCUGUGCCACAUUCCAAAGGAAUUUCAAGAAGUUUUGUUACAGGACUGAGAGGACUGAAAACAACAACAACAAAAAAUAAAGAAUAUAGCAUUGUACCUGCUUUUCCA